CCUACGGGUGGCAGCAGUGGGGAAUAUUGCACAAUGGGGGAAACCCUGAUGCAGCGACGCCGCGUGAAGGAAGAAGUAUUUCGGUAUGUAAACUUCUAUCAGCAGGGAAGAAAAUGACGGUACCUGACUAAGAAGCCCCGGCUAACUACGUGCCAGCAGCCGCGGGAAUACGUAGGGGGCAAGCGUUAUCCGGAUUUACUGGGUGUAAAGGGAGCGGAGGCGGUGCAGCAAGUCAGAAGUGAAAGCCCGGGGCUCAACUCCGGGACUGCUUUUGAAACUGUUGAACUAGAUGGCAGGAGAGGUAAGUGGAAUUCCUAGUGUAGCGGUGAAAGGCGUAGAUAUUAGGAGGAACACCAGUGGCGAAGGCGGCUUACUGGACUGUAAAUGACGCUGAGGCUCGAAAGCGUGGGGAGCAAACAGGAUUAGAUACCCGAGUAGUC
rnacentral:rRNA from 1 species